UAAUACAGAGGGUGCGAGCGUUAAUCGGAAUUACUGGGCGUAAAGAGCGCGUAGGCGGUCGUGUAAGUCAGAUGUGAAAGACCUUGGCUCAACCAGGGAACUGCAUUUGAUACUGCACAACUAGAGUAUGGUAGAGGAAAGUGGAAUUUCCGGUGUAGCGGUGAAAUGCGUAGAUACCGGAAGGAACACCAGUGGCGAAGGCGACUUUCUGGACCAAUACUGACGCUGAGGCGCGAAAGCGUGGGGAGCAAACAGG
rnacentral:rRNA from 1 species